rnacentral:ncRNA from 1 species
UUUAAAAAAAAAAUCAUGAUGGUCCCUGCGGAUGUUGACGCAAUGUGAUCUAUGCUUAGUGCUUUGCAUGUCGAAGUGAAGAAAUUCAACCAAGGGUGGGUAAACAGCGGGAGUAAUUGUGACUCUCUUAAGGUGGUUAGAUGUCUUACCAUAUAAAUAAUGGCAUGCAUGAAUAGAUUAAUGAGAUUCCCACUGUCCCUAGCUACUAUCUAGAGAAACCAUAGACAAGGAAAUUGGCUUGGUAGAAUUAGCAGAGAAAGAAGACCAUGUUGAGCUUGACAUUAGUUAGACUUUGUGAAAUGACUUGAGAGGUGUAUAAUAAGUGGGAGUCGUUUUCAGUGCAAGUGAAAUACGGCCACUACUUUUAACAUUAUUUUAGUUAUUUUGUGGGGCAGAGACGGGGCAUUGCGCAUAUGUUCAAAUAUAACGCACAUUUCCUCAAAGUGUUUUCAUUGAUGGAAAUGAUCAAGAGCUCAUUCUUCAUGCUUUUGAUGGCAAUGACUUUAGGAAACCAAAGAGAAUCAUUAUUUUUAAGGACGUACAAAGUUCCUACAAAGAGGAUCAUAUGUAAGAUAUUAAUAUUGCUCUUGACCUUAUUCACCAACAU